GCCGCGCCGCCGCCGCACGCCAUGGCCAGUCUGCUGGGCGGCGGAGCGGGCAGGUGACGGUGACGGGAAACAAGAGGACGAGGAUGACUAGUAUGUUGGAUAGGAUAGAGAUAUGGAGAGCCAAGGUUAGUUAAAUGGAUAGCAAAAUAGUAAUAUGGAGAGUUGAAUUUGGCUAGUCUCUUGGAGAUACUCUCACCCUGAUGUGGUAGCUGCUAGAGUAAUUUUAGGCAGUAUUCCAUUUGCUUAGGCCAUAUGAGCAUUGAGCAAAGACAGCAAUGAUAUUUGCCAAUACCUAUGAGUCGCUUCAUGUGUUUAAGAAUGUAACCUGGAAAUUGCACUUGUUUCAGUGUCCUUAUUAUUAGAUGUACAAACCACUUCCUCAGGUAGCCUUUGGUUCCUCUACAUAUGUGUUUACUUUGAAUAUGGAACUGAGGGAGAAAACUGAUUAACUGAAGCAGGUACUAAUGGAUUUUAUUAUCUGUAAUGGAGUUGGAAAAAUAAUUAACUUAGUCUAUAUUUAGUUUACAAGAAACAAUGUGGUAGCUAAUUAGACCUGAGGCUUAUGCAUGCAUGAGUUGAAGACAAACAAAUACUACUUAAAUUGUGCCCUACAAUCUGAAGGGCAAUUUGUUACACAUGGGCUUUAUUUAUAUAUUGGUACUCCCAUGAGCA